rnacentral:rRNA from 1 species
UAGUCCACGCCGUAAACGAUGUCUACUAGCCGUUGGGAGGCUUGACCUCUUAGUGGCGAAGCUAACGCGAUAAGUAGACCGCCUGGGGAGUACGGUCGCAAGAUUAAAACUCAAAUGAAUUGACGGGGGCCCGCACAAGCGGUGGAGCAUGUGGUUUAAUUCGAUGCAACGCGAAAAACCUUACCAGGCCUUGACAUCCUGAGAACUUUCUAGAGAUAGAUUGGUGCCUUCGGGAACUCAGAGACAGGUGUUGCAUGGCUGUCGUCAGCUCGUGUCGUGAGAUGUUGGGUUAAGUCCCGUAACGAGCGCAACCCUUAUCCUUAUUUGCCAGCACGUAAUGGUGGGGACUCUAGGGAGACUGCCGGCGCAAAGCCGUGAGGAAGGUGGGGACGACGUCAAAUCAUCAUGGCCUUUAUGCCUAGGGCUACACACGUGCUACAAUGGUGACUACAACGGGUUGCGAAAUUGUGAAAUGGAGCUAAUCUCAAAAAAGUCAAUCCCAUUCGGAUUG